rnacentral:tRNA from 1 species
AAUAUUAUAAGUAAAUAAACUAAAAAAAUUAUAUAAAAAAAUAUAAUAUAAAUUAGAAUUUAUAUAAAAUAAAAUAAUAUAAUAUUAUAAUUAUAAAAAAUUAAUUUUUAAGAAAAAAAAUAUAAUUUAUUUACUUUAAUAAAAUAUUAAAAUAAUAUAAUUAAAUAAUAAAUUAAAUUAUAAAAAAUUAGGAUUAUUUAUUAUUAAAAAAUAAAUAUUAAUAAAUAAUUAUAAACUUUUAUUAUUA